rnacentral:rRNA from 1 species
UUCUUCGGAGGGUAUGCUUAAAGAGGGGCUUGCGUCACAUUAGUUAGUUGGUAAGGUAAAGGCUUACCAAGACGAUGAUGUGUAGCUGGACUGAGAGGUUGAACAGCCACAUUGGGACUGAGACACGGCCCAAACUCCUACGGGAGGCAGCAGUAGGGAAUUUUCGGCAAUGGAGGAAACUCUGACCGAGCAACGCCGCGUGAACGACGAAGUACUUCGGUAUGUAAAGUUCUUUUAUUGAAGAAGAAAAAAUAGUGGAAAAACUAUAUUGACGUUAUUCAAUGAAUAAGCCCCGGCUAACUAUGUGCCAGCAGCCGCGGUAAUACAUAGGGGGCGAGCGUUAUCCGGAAUUAUUGGGCGUAAAGGGUGCGUAGGCGGUUUGAUAAGUCUCUAGUUUAAUUUCAGCGCUUAACGCUGUCCUGCUAGAGAAACUGUCUUACUAGAGUGAGAUAGAGGCAAGCGGAAUUCCAUGUGUAGCGGUAAAAUGUGUAAAUAUGUGGAGGAACACCAGAGGCGUAGGCGGCUUGCUGGGUCUUUACUGACGCUGAGGCACGAAAGCGUGGGGAGCAAACAGGAUUAGAUACCCUGGUAGUCCACGCCGUAAACGAUGAGUACUAAGUGUCGGGGCAACUCGGUACUGAAGUUAACACAUUAAGUACUCCGCCUGAGUAGUACGUACGCAAGUAUGAAACUUAAAGGAAUUGACGGGAUCCCGCACAAGCGGUGGAUCAUGUUGUUUAAUUCGAAGAUACACGAAAAACCUUACCAGGUCUUGACAUAUUCUGCGAAUCUAUAGAAAUAUAGUGGAGGUUACCAGAAAUACAGGUGGUGCAUGGUUGUCGUCAGCUCGUGUCGUGAGAUGUUAGGUUAAGUUCUAAAACGAGCGCAACCCUUAUCGUUAGUUACCAGCAUGUUAUGAUGGGGACUUUAGCGAGACUGCCAAUGAAAAAUUGGAGGAAGGUGAGGAUUACGUCAAAUCAUCAUGCCCCUUAUGAUCUGGGCUACAAACGUGAUACAAUGGCUAUUACAAAGAGUAGCUGAAACGCGAGUUUUUAGCCAAUCUCAAAAAAAUAGUCUCAGUUCGGAUUGAAGUCUGCAACUCGACUUCAUGAAGUUGGAAUCGCUAGUAAUCGCGA